AGGUGUUUAACUCAGUGGUAGAGAGUUGUGGAGUAACCACAAUGGUCGGAAGUUCGAUUCUUUCAAUACCUA
rnacentral:tRNA from 1 species